rnacentral:lncRNA from 1 species
AAUCCUAAACCCUAAAACCCUAACCUUAAAACCCAAACCCUAAAAACCUAAAACCUAAAACCUAAACCCCAAAACCUAAAACCCAAAACCAAAACCCAAAACCUAAAACCCCAAACCUUAAACCCCAAACCCCAAACCCUAAACCCCAAAUCCUAAACCCCAAACCCCCAAACCUAAACCCCCAAACCCUAAACCCCCAAUCCCUAAACUCCAAACCCGAAAACCCCAAACCCGAAAAUCCGAACCCCGAAAAAUCCGAACCCCGAACCCCGAACCCUCAACCCUGAACCCCCAACCAUGAAACCCUAAAACCUAAAACCUAAACCCUAAACUCUAAACCCAAACCCAAAAUCCUAAACCCAAAAUCCUAAACCCUAAACCCAAAAAUCCUAAAACCCAAAAACCCUAGAUCCUAAACCAAAAACCCUGGACCCUAAACCAAAAACCCUAGACCCUAGACCCUAGACCCUAGAACCUAGACCCU